rnacentral:rRNA from 1 species
CCUACGGGGGGCAGCAGUGAGGAAUAUUGGUCAAUGGGCGGAAGCCUGAACCAGCCAAGUCGCGUGAGGGAAUAAGGCCCUACGGGUCGUAAACCUCUUUUGCCGGGGAGCAAGGGCCGGGACGCGUCCCGGCCCGGAGAGUACCCGGAGAAAAAGCAUCGGCUAACUCCGUGCCAGCAGCCGCGGUAAUACGGAGGAUGUGAGCGUUAUCCGGAUUUAUUGGGUUGUAAGGGUGCGUAGGCGGGCUUUUAAGUCAGCGGUGAAAAUUCGGGGCUCAACCCCGUCCGGCCGGUGAACAUGGGGGCCGUGAGUGGGCGAGAAGAAGGCGGAAUGCGUGGUGUAGCGGUGAAAUGCAUAGAUAUCACGCAGAACCCCGAUUGCGAAGGCAGCCUUCCGGCGCCCUACUGACGCUGAGGCACGAAAGCGUGGGUAUCGAACAGGAUUAGAUACCCGAGUAGUC